rnacentral:rRNA from 1 species
UCGAGCGAGAAAGUACCUUCGGGGUGCGAGUACAGCGGCAAACGGGUGAGUAACACGUAAGGAAUCUGCCUCCAAGUGCGGAAUAGAUCUGCCAACGCGGAAUUAAUGCCGGAUUGUGGUCUUCGGAUCGCAUGAUCUGAAGACUGAAGGUGACCGCUUCGUCUGAAAGUUACCGCUUGGAGAUGACCUUGCGGCCCAUUAGCUUGUUGGUGGGGUAACGGCCCACCAAGGCUACGAUGGGUAGCCGGCCUGAGAGGGUGAACGGCCACAUUGGGACUGAGAUACGGCCCAGACUCCUACGGGAGGCAGCAGUAGGGAAUUUUGCGCAAUGGGCGAAAGCCUGACGCAGCAACGCCGCGUGAGGGAUGAAGGUUUUCGGAUUGUAAAACCUCUGUUGAGUGGGAAGAAACGUGUCGGAGUUAAUAGCUUCGAUGCCUGACGGUACCACUCGAGGAAGCCCCGGCUAACUACGUGCCAGCAGCCGCGGUAAUACGUAGGGGGCUAGCGUUGUUCGGAAAUCACUGGGCGUAAAGGGAGUGUAGGCGGAGAUUCAAGUCAGGAGUGUAAUUCUACGGGCUUAACCCGUAGUUUUGCUUCUGAUACUGUUUCUCUUGGAGUAGUGGAAGGGGGAAACGGAAUUCCAGGUGUACCGGUGGAAAUGCGUAAGAUAUCCUGGGAAAGAACACCAGUAGCGAACGCGGUCUCCUGGCCACAUACUGACGGCUUGAGGCUCGAAAGCGUUGGGGAGCAACAAGGAUUAGAUUACCCUGGUAGUCCACGCCGUAAACGAUGGACACUGGAUAUCGGGUGAUUCAUUUCAAUUCGGUGUCGUUAGCUAACGCAUUAAGGUGUCCCGCCUGGGGAGUACGCCCGCAAGGGUGAAACUCAAAGGAAUUGACGGGGGCCCGCACAAGCGGUGGAGCAUGUGCUUUAAUUCGAUGCAACGCGAAGAACCUUACCUGGGUUUGACAUGGGGAUGAAACUCUCCAGAGAUGGAGAGCCUUCCUUCGGGAACAUCCUACACAGGUGCUGCAUGGUUGUCGUCAGCUCGUGUCGUGAGAUGUUGGGUUAAGUCCCGCAACGAGCGCAACCCUCGUCCUUAGUUGCUAUCAGGUAAUGCUGGGAACUCUAGGGAGACUGCCUGGUCACAACCAGGAGGAAGGUGAGGAUGACGUCAAAUCAUCAUGGCUCUUACGCCCAGGGCUAUACACGUGCUACAAUGGUUGGUACAAUGGGAUGCCACACUGCGAAGUGGAGCAUACCCCAAUAAACCAACCUCAGUUCAGAUUGGAGUCUGCAAUUCGACUCCAU